UGACGAUUUUUUGCUUUCCAUUCAACGAUUUGCAAAUUAUUGGUUAUUCUUUUAAAAGUCGAUCAUAAAUUCUUUGUUUUGGGAUGAUUGCUUUGUAAUCGUGUGACGGGAGUAAAUACCGUAUACGUCGAUCUAUGGCUUGUUUAAAACCGUAAUAAACGAAGAAAGACGUGAUUUGAGAAUGAAAUGUAAGUUGAAAUUAACUUUAUAUGCCUCAAACUUUCCAUCCUAUGUUUCAUAAUGUAACUUCAGCUGGCAAGUUCAAAAUACAAGCUCGCGAAAUUUGACAAAUUUUGAAAAUAUGUAAAAAUAGCUUGACUUUGAACUGUAGUUUCUCAAAAAUAACUCGUGGCCUCAAUUUCAAAUAUAGCUAAAUGCAUGAAAAGAAAAAACGUUUCGGCGUUUGUAGGUAUCAAACAUAUCGUCAGGAAAAUAGGGGCUCACAAUGUUUUAGUUCAGUCUUUGAGACCCAGUUGCUUCGCACGUGUUGUGGUCAAAUUUUUGCCAAGAAUCAAAGGCUGAAAUGUGAACUUCCUUCAUGAAAACCGCUUCGAGAAGGGUCUAGUUUGAAAAUCUACCUAUUAAUUUCGAUUUCGUGAGCAUAUUUUGGUUACACGUUAAGUAUUUUUGUGCUUGAUGAGAUUCAAAAUUUGUUGUAUAUUCAAGCCCGGCUUUUGUAUAAUUUUGGUGAUGACCGGAACAGAAAUUAAGAUAUUUUAAAAACUGGCCGUGGCCUCACGAUAAAACUUUCUACAAAUGUUCUCUGUUUUUGAUAUCUUAGGUAUAAGCGUAAAAAUAGGGGCUCAUACAGUUUAAGAGGUUGUAAAAUGCAUGACUUGCCUCUAUUUUCAUGUAAACAUUCGAAAUUCU